UACAGAGGUCUCAAGCGUUGUUCGGAUUCAUUGGGCGUAAAGGGUGCGUAGGCGGCGUGGUAAGUCGGAUGUGAAAUCCUCGGAGCUUAACUCCGAAACUGCAUUCGAUACUGCCGUGCUUGAGGACUGGAGAGGAGACUGGAAUUUACGGUGUAGCGGUGAAAUGCGUAGAUAUCGUAAGGAAGACCAGUGGCGAAGGCGGGUCUCUGGACAGUUCCUGACGCUGAGGCACGAAGGCCAGGGGAGCAAACGGG
rnacentral:rRNA from 1 species